AAGUCCCGAAAGGGAUAAGUAGAGUGGCAAACGGGUGAGUAACACGUGGGUGACCUGCCUUCGAGCGGGGGAUAACGUCCCGAAAGGGACGCUAAUACCGCAUGACAUCCUGCCUUUGAAUAGGUGGAGAUCAAAGCUGGGGAUCGCAAGACCCGGCGCUUGAUGAGGGGCCCGCGUCCGAUUAGCUAGUUGGUGAGGUAACGGCUCACCAAGGCAACGAUCGGUAUCCGGCCUGAGAGGGCGGACGGACACACUGGGACUGAGACACGGCCCAGACUCCUACGGGAGGCAGCAGUGGGGAAUUGUUCACAAUGGGCGCAAGCCUGAUGACGCAACGCCGCGUGGAGGAUGAAGGUCUUCGGA
rnacentral:rRNA from 1 species